rnacentral:rRNA from 1 species
GACGAACGCUGGCGGCGUGCUUAACACAUGCAAGUCGAACGGAAAGGCCCUGCUUUUGUGGUGUGCUCGAGUGGCGAACGGGUGAGUAACACGUGAGUAACCUGCCCUUGACUUUGGGAUAACUUCAGGAAACUGGGGCUACUACCGUAUAGGAUCUCCUGCUGCAUGGUGGGGGUUGGAAAGUUUCGGCGGUUGGGGAUGGACUCGCGGCUUAUCAGCUUGUUGGUGGGGUAGUGGCUUACCAAGGCUUUGACGGGUAGCCGGCCUGAGAGGGUGACCGGCCACAUGGGGACUGAGAUACGGCCCAGACUCGUACGGGAGGCAGCAGGGGGGAAUAUGGCACAAUGGGCGGAAGCCUGAUGCAGCAACGCCGCGUGCGGGAUGACGGCCUUCGGGGUGUAAACAGCUUUCGCCUGAGACGAAGCGGGAGUGACGGUAAUGGGUAAAGAAGCACCGGCUAACUACGUG